rnacentral:rRNA from 1 species
AGAGUUUGAUUCUGGCUCAGGAUGAACGCUGGCGGCGUGCCUAACACAUGCAAGUCGAGCGAUUCUCUUCGGAGAAGAGCGGCGGACGGGUGAGUAACGCGUGGGUAACCUGCCUCAUACACAUGGAUAACAUACCGAAAGGUAUGCUAAUACAGGAUAACAUAAGAGAUUCACAUGGAUUUCUUAUCAAAGCUCCGGCGGUAUGAGAUGGACCCGCGUCUGAUUAGCUAGUUGGUAAGGUAACGGCUUACCAAGGCGACGAUCAGUAGCCGACCUGAGAGGGUGAUCGGCCACAUUGGAACUGAGACACGGUCCAAACUCCUACGGGAGGCAGCAGUGGGGAAUAUUGCACAAUGGGCGAAAGCCUGACGCCAGCAACGCCGCGUGAGUGAUGAAGGCUUUCGGGUCGUAAAACUCUGUCCUCAAGGAAGAUAAUGACGGUACUUGAGGAGGAAGCCCCGGCUAACUACGUGCCAGCAGCCGC